UACGGAGGGUGCAAACGUUGCUCGGAAUCAUUGGGCGUAAAGCGCACGUAGGUGGCCUGUUAAGUCGGGUGUGAAAUCCCUGGGCUCAACCCAGGAAGUGCACUCGAAACUGGCAGGCUUGAGUACUGAAGAGGGUCGCGGAAUUCCCGGUGUAGAGGUGAAAUUCGUAGAUAUCGGGAGGAACACCAAUGGCGAAGGCAGGUCUCUGGGCAUUAACUGACGCUGAGGAGCGAAAGCAUGGGGAGCGAACAGG
rnacentral:rRNA from 1 species